rnacentral:rRNA from 1 species
GUUAUCCGGAUUUACUGGGCGUAAAGCGCGUUCAGGCGGUUUGGCAAGUCGGGCAUGAAAUCUCUCGGCUCAACCGGGAGAGGUUGUCCGAUACUGCUGGACUGGAGGGCAGUAGAGGGUGGUGGAAUUCCCGGUGUAGCAGUGAAAUGCGUAGAGAUCGGGAGGAACAUCUGUGGCGAAGGCGACUGCCUGGACCAGCACUGACACUGAGGCACGAAAGCGUGGGGAGCAAACCGG